CCUACGGGUGGCAGCAGUGAGGAAUAUUGGUCAAUGGCCGUAAGGCUGAACCAGCCACGUAGCGUGAGGGAAGACUGCCCUAUGGGUUUUAACCCUCUUUUAUGCGGGGAUAAAGGUGUCCACGUGUGGAUGUUUGCAGGUACCGCAUGAAUUAGGACCGGCUAAUUCCGUGCCAGCAGCCGCGGUAAUACGGUAGGUCCGGGGGUUAUCCGGAUUUGAUGGGUUUAAAGGGAGCGUAGGCCGGUCUUUAAGCGUGCCGUGAAAUUUUGGGGGUCAACCAUGAGAGUGCGGCGCGAACUGGAGACCUUGAGUGCGCGGAAGGCAGGCGGAAUUCGUGGUGUAGCGGUGAAAUGCUUAGAUAUCACGAAGAACCCCGGUUGCGAAGGCAGCCUGCCGCAGCGUUACUGACGCUGAGGCUCGAAAGCGCGGGUAGCGAACAGGAUUAGAUACCCGGGUAGUC
rnacentral:rRNA from 1 species